AAAAAAACAAGUAUGGCUGCCGACGACAUCCACGUCAGGCUAUGUCUACAAGAAAUUGUGAAAUUAGACCUUAAAGUUAAAGCGUAUAUACAGGCAGUGUUAUAGGCCACAUCCCACUGGGUAACAACCAAUACCCAAGUUAAUCCCUCCUCAAGUCAACCCAGCUCGAAGUUUUGUCAAUCUGGCUCCAAAAUUGGUUGUGAAAGUGGAUCAUUGAUGUUAAUAAAGUGAAGGUUCAAGUGUUUUGGAGUACAUGAUGAAACUAGCAGCAUUUCCAGUCUACUGUUUGUCAGGUGGUGUUCUUAUUGGAGCAGUUCUGACACAAUUGCUUUAUGUGUUCAUGCCAGAUUUCCCAAAUUUUGCCUAUUGGUAUAAAAAUGCAAAUUUGAAAGGGCCAGACACAAAAAUUGUCAUUGGAAUUCUUUCAGCAAGGGAAAACUUUCAUGCAAGGCAAUCUAUUAGGGAAACAUGGCUUCAUGGAGCUCAAGAAGAUGUGAUAUAUAAAUUCAUUGUUGGGAAAAAAGGUUGUGAAAUAAAUCCUAGAAAUAGAAAAGAUGUGUAUUCAUGUGAUGUGUUGAAUUUCACAUAUAACAGCCAUAAAAUUCAAGAUAAUCCUAAUUUCCCUCUUCUUUCUUUGGUUAAAUUUCAUGAGUCUAACAAGGAGUUAAAUACAGACAAUCUACAUAUUGUUUGGAAUGCUUCAGUCAUUAUCAGACAUCCAGUGAUAGUGAAGAGGAUAGGUUUGCUUUCAGCAGUGGAAUUAUCAGAAAAGCCUGUCACUGUGCAGCUGUAUGAUGAAAUAAGAGAGGAAGUUGUGCUCUCCACAAGAUUUAGUGUACUUGAUCAGGGGAUAAUCGAUGGAGCUAACACAAAUUUUGAAACAUACAGAUUCCAGCCUGUUAGUCAGGUUCUUCUCCCAAAAGAUUACGAAUGCACAUUGAGAAUUCUUUCAAGUGAAAAUAUAAAUAUUAAACAAGGUCCAUUUGGUAAACUAAAAUCAUAUUCAAUAAAUAAUUCUGGCAGAACCGUAGAGCUGUUACCUUUAGAUGAUAAAGGUUUUGUUAUGUAUGAAUUUGAAAACAAACUGUUUAUUGGAAACCUUAUCCUCUCUGUUGAUGAUUUAGAACAAUUGAAAAUGAUGCAGAAAAAUCAAGCAUUGUUUGAUGAAGAAUAUAAAAUUGUUCAGGAAAAGGUUGGCCAUCAAUUGGAGGAAGAAAAACGCAAAUAUGAUGACAUAUUGUUUGUAGAGGUUACAGAUGUGUACCGUAACCUUCCACUUAAACUGUUACAGUUUCAUCAGUGGGUUUCCAUGGAAAUAAAAACACAUUUUGUUAUGAAGACUGAUGAUGACUGCUUUGUGGAUAUUGAGAGAAUAUUGACCAUGCUGGACGCAUUAUCAAGGACUAAUACUGGUAAAAUUUGGCUGGGAAAUUUCAGGGAAAACUGGUUUGUGGAAAGAUUUGGGAAAUGGGCAGAAAAAGUGUUCCGUUCAACAGAAUAUCCUCAGUUUGCCUGUGGAUCUGGAAAUAUUGUUUCUAAGGAUAUCAGUGAUUGGUUGGCUAGGAAUGCAGGUGUUUUGUUUCCAUAUCAAGGAGAGGACACUUCAAUGGGAAUAUGGUUAAGUGCAAUAGGUCCGAAAUACUGGGGAAGUAAGAAAUGGUUGUGUGAUAAAGAAUGCCAUAAUAAUGCUUUUGUUAUACCACAAUUGUCUGUUGUGGAGAUGAGAUCAUUUUGGGAGAGUAAACAGAAAUGUGGCAAUAUUUGUGGAUGUCUGUGAAUAUUUUCUUUAAUUAUGCAGUACACACUGAUGUUUUUUUCAGUGACAAUUACAUUUACUUUUAGAAAAUCAAGUAUAUUUACAAUGAAUUGAAUAUGGAAACUAAACAGUAAUGUUCAUAGUGCAGCCUGUCGUGAUUACAAUGUAAUAAAGUUAUAUACUGUAAAUUAUUUAUCAAAAAUGUUGUGACAAUAAGAAGCUAAAUGCACUGCAGUUUACUAUGUACAUGUGGAUUGUUAUCAACUUGAACCAAAGUGGGAAAUUCAAAGAAUAAGAGAGUACAUGUAUAUAAUGUAGAAUGUCAAUAUACAUGUAGGUACUUAUGUGCAUAUAAGUUGGAAAUUACAAUAAUGACAUCUGGGAUACAAAUUUAGGAAGUCAUUUCAUAAAAGGACAUCAGAGACAGUAAAGAUAUUGAAGAACUAGAAGAUCUGAACAGUAAAGCUAGAAAUGUAUUGAAUCAACUGAAAACUAAAAUCCAGGAUCUGGAAAGACUUGGGAAGGAACAGGAUAGGGAGGAAGACAGACA